AUCAGAUCCCAUUACAGAUGGUUGUGAGCCACCAUGUGGUUGUUGGAAUUUGAACUCAGGACCUCUGGAAGAGCAGUCAGUGCUCUUAACCGCUGAGCCAUCUCUCCAGCCUGGACUUUACCCUUUUCACCUAAGCUAAUCUGUCUUCACUUUGUGUGUGUGUGUGUGUGUGUGUGUGUGUGUGUGUGUGUGUGUGUGUGCGCAUGUGCACAUGCAGAUAAGUGAGACAUACUUGCACAUGUACAGUCUUCAGACAGGACCUCUUACUGGACCCGGAGCUCGAUUCAGCCAGACUGGCUUGCCAGUGAUUUUUAGGUGUCCGCCUGCCUCUGUUUCCCCAGCCUUGGGAUUUCAGGUGGAUGCUGCCACGCACGGCUUUUAUGUGGGUGCUUGGAAUAUGGACUCAGGUCCUCGUUCUUGCAAUGUAGCAAUGCAGUAAUGUACACAAGUGCAUGCUGGUGUACCCACUGAGCCGCCUCUCCAAGCCUGCAGGACGACCCUUUCCCUUCCUUGUUUAUGUGAUGCUGGGGGUUGAACUCGGGCUCUGUGAAGGCUAAGCACCGAAGUCUACCAGCUGAGCCACACUCCCAGCUCCAAGGACACACCGCAAAUCCACAGUCUUGAGAUCUCUUAAAAGAAGUGAAACAAAGAUCUCAGAGGUGUGAGCAGAGGGUGGGCCCACUAGCGAGUUCUAGAGGGCUGGCCCUUUUUCUUUGAGGCUGGGUGUCUGGAACCCUCCUGCAUCUCUGAUGCUCCUUCUCCUUCCCAUGUCUUCCUAGCAUCCUCCAUCAAUAGCAGGAGGACACCCAGAGUAGACACUAGGGGAGUCCCAUCAACGACCCUCCCUGCUAGACAACUAGGAGGAUGGGGAAAACAGCUUCAGACACUAUCAAGGAAUGAAUGCGCCUGACUUUGUCAUUCUGGACUUACUCCCCAGGACUCUAAUAGCAUGACAUGCCACCACAGUAGUGUGUCCCUAACUUAGAAGGACUGACGGAUUCCUCAAAAACUGUAGGGCAAGCUGGAGAGAUGGCUCGGAGGUUGAGAGCACUGACUGCUCUUCCAGAGGUCCUGAGUUCAAAUUCCAGCAACCACAUGGUGGCUCACAGCUAUCUGUAAUGGGAUCUGAUGCCCUCUUCUGGUGUGUCUGAAGACAGUGACAUAUAUGAGUGUACUCAUAUAUAAUAAAUAAAUCUUUAAAAACAAAACAAAAAAACUGUAGGGCACUGUUCAGACAGAAGGGUGUGGAAGGCCCUGGAUGACUUGGCUAAGGUUACUUUGUCACAGGGUCUGUGUGAUAGACACUCAUGGCUGUUUCCUCUCUCUCUCUCUCUCUCUCUCUCUCUCUCUCUCUCUCUCUCUCUCCCUGAGACAGGGUAUCACUAUGUAACCUUGGUGGUCUGGAACUUGCUAUAUAAACCAGGUUGAUCUCAAACUCACAGAGAUCACCCCUCCACCAGCUGUGAUUAAAGGCAUGUGUGUGUGUGUGUGUGUGUGUGUGUGUGCGUGUGUGUCUGUCUGUCUGUCUCUGUGUCUCUGUGUGUAGGAGUGUGUGUGUACAUGUAGUGGUCUAUUUGUAGGAGGUCUAUGUGUGUAUAGGGGGUCUAUGUAUGUAGAAGAGUCUAUGUAUGGUUUAUGUCUAUAGGAGUCUGUGUAGGUUGAUAUUGAGAAUCUUCUUCCUUUAUGGCUCUUUUUUAAAACAUUAUUUUUAUGUGUAAAUGUGUUUUGCCUGUACAUAAGUCUAUGCAUCAUGUGCAUGCAGUGCCCAAAGAGGCCAGAAGCAUAUAUCCAAUUCAUCUGGACUGAGCUACCGAUGAUAGCAAACUGCCACGUGUGUGCUGGAAUCGAGCCCAGCUCCUCUGAACACUGAGCCAUCCCUCCAGCCCCCACUAUGGCUCACUUUAUUUUUUUGAGAUAGGGUCUCUCACUGAACCCAGAGCUCACCAGUUUGGCUAGCAAGCCCCCAGUGUCCAUCUGUCUCUGCCUCUUCAUCUCUGGGGUUACAGAUUCUUGCCCACACCAGCUUUUACGUUGCUGGAGAGCUGCAUUAUCAUCCAUACACAGAAAGCCCUUUGCCCACAGAAUCAUCUCCUCAGCCCUGGUCACACUGUUCUUUGGCUCAGUCUGUGGGGUGCCAACAUUGCCUCUCAGCGCCAUCCUCCCGGGUGUAUAUUUCCUCAGUUGCACCACCCUGGGGCACGGGCCCUGCAGUUAGAAACAACGGGAGGCUGGGGGAUUAGCUGUCCCCUAAGAGCAACAGUUCUGUGUAGUCCCAUCAUGCAAUGCGGCACACGCGCUGGGCCAGCCCCUCCGUUAGCCUCUUUUUGGUCAUCCCAUGGGUGAGUCACAGCUUCUUAAUCUGUCCAUUUUUAGAAAGAUGCAGAUGGGAUUUGGCGUGUAGCUGUGAGGGUAAAAGAAUGUCGGGAGUGAGGGAGAGUUUUGCAACACAAACCCCAAAGAAGAAGUGUGAGCCUCUUCAGCUUCCUCCUGACAGGGAGGAUCAGUGUCACCACACAGCACUGGGGGCCAGCAGGUGGUGGGAGUAGAGAUGGGCUCUGUUGCACCAUAGCGCUCGCUCGGUGCUUUUCCCUUCUGGGUGGACGGGUGAAGUCUGGCGCUGGGUGGGUGGAAGUCGCCCACCCUCCUGUGCAAACAGGGCCGCUCAGCUUCUGCUCUUCCAAGCACAUGGGGCCUGGGUUCUGGAAGAAACUCCUUCUUGGACCACAUUGCCGAAGAUCCAGGAUGGGAAAGCAGGAGGCAUGGGAGCCAGAUCGUGAAAAAUCACGUUCCUUUUUAGGGCUGGAUGGAUGCCGGAGUGAAGGAGGGCUAGCAAGGAAGCACAGAAACAGCAGGUGCAUGGAAAACUUGAGGCCCCUUCAGUCCCGCUUUCCCCACCCACUUUGUGCAGCCAAUCCUCAGGUUACCUCUCCCUGUUCUUCACACACAAAUGGCCCUUCCCAACCCUCACAUCACAAAGCUCCGUCACCAGCAGCCCAGGCUCCCAACGCUCCUGAAAGGUAGACUUUCCCGGGCUGGAGAGAUGGCUCAGCCAUCAAAGGCUAAGCUCACAAUCAAAAAUGUAAGGUAGGUUUUCCUGCCCAGGCUUCUCCUGUCCUCUCCUCAGUCCUUCUCUGCUAAGUCUAAGAGAAGCAAUGAUGUCCUCCCUUUUCUCUUUGUCUUUUUUUUUCCUCCCAAAGGGCCUGUUGCUCCACGUAUGACGCACUGACACUCUUUGUUCUGGGUGUUGCUCAGUCAGGGGCAGAGGAGUGCCUAGGUGUGUGCUUGUGUGCUCCAUGUACAUCACACACACACACACACACACACACACACACACACACACACACUUGCACCAACACAUCCAGCUUUCUUGUUCCUCCUCUUCCACAUUAUCUGUGGAAGAUUAUUCCAGAGGUCGUGAGCUCAAGUCUCAGCAACCACAUGGUGGCUCGGCUCACAACUAUCUGUAAUGGGAUCGGAUUGAAGAGAGCGACGGUGUACUAUGUAGAAAACAAAUUAAUAAAUCUUUAAAAAAUAUAUCACGCAGAAAGCAAAACGAUAACAAAGGAAAAAAAAAAAAAGAAGGCAACUUGCGGAAGUCAGUUCUUUUCCUCCCCCAUGCGGGUAUCAGGGAUCGAACUCAGGUGAUCAGGCUUGGCAGCAAGCACCUUUCCUUGCUGAGCCCUCUCACCUGCCCUGUGCCCAGCUCUUUUACACGGGAUUUGAGAACUGAGCUCAGGUCCUUCUGCUUUACCAGCAAGCACUUUACCAACUGAGAUGUGGAGACAUGGUGGUGCCUCACGGACUCCAGAAAACAACUGGGGCCUCAUUGUACCUCAGAGGCUCCUAUGAAAGGAAGCUCGCUAUUUCUAAACAUGCUGAGUCCCCCUGCUGCACACCAGUAUUGGGAUCACCCCGAACAAGGCUGCCUAUCCAGUUAGUUAUGCAAACAACAUCUUCCAGUCAUGUUGUAGCUGUGGUGCGCCCCACAGGGUGCCGUGGAAAGAAGAAAACUGGUUUCUGAGUCAGGAAAGACUCCCCUGGCGUUUUUGAGGGCAGGAGUGGGGUCUCAUCUAGAGCUUGGCGUUCCCAUGAUGCACCUCUCAAUCAAGCUGCUUUGCAUACGUCCCUGUGUAGUUGUCAUUUAUGGGGCCAGAAGUAGGACAAAGCUUCGGAGACGAGCAGAUAGUCAGGAAAUCCUGUACAGACCCCAGCUGCAAUGCACGGUAUGAACCAAGAGUUCCUCCCGGGAACAGAAAGUACGCAUGCUCCACCUUUUUCAGUGGCAAGGCCCUCAGGGGUGGGGGCGGGGAGUCAACCUGUAGAGCGUCCCGAGUGAGGUUGAACUAAGGCAGGAGUGGGGAGACUUGACACUGGGCGGCACCUGGGCACAGCUCUCCCGGACAUCCCCCGCGUAUCUGUGAGGACUGGGCCUUUCCCAAGGCUGCCCAUUGCGUUUGCCUCUGGGCAUCCUGUUCCUUUGCUGACGACUUUCUGUGCAUACUGACGUCACAGAAGGUUGCAGCACAGCGCAUACCUGUGGGCAAGACUGACUCCAUUAACCUGUGUCUAGGUCACGUACCUCGGCCUCUAUGUGGCUGCGCAUCUGCAGACCUUCUUCUCCAGUUUUUUCUGUCAGCUGCCUGUGGUCUCCGCUCCUAGAAGCCGAAUGACGGGUGCCUGGUAACCGGAUGCCUCACACACCUGCCAGAACGAUCCCACCAGCUGGGAGGCCGCCACCUCUUGAGGAGGAAGGACACACCAGCUUACCAACCGGUUCGAAUAUUACUAAGAUCACAGCAGAGGUGCUCAGAGAACAAGGCCCUGUGGCCUGAAGCAAAGACUGCCUAUGCUCUUCCUGCAGCCUGGACUCCAUCACGGUCUGAGGUGAUCCAGAGCAGACGGCCUCAGCCCAGUGUAUUACAGAAGAAGCUGUAACCUCUUCCUCCCUUAGCUGCUUCUUGUCUGGUAUUUGGCCACUGGUAUGAUUUAAAUAACCAACGUAAUCCCACACUCUUGUCUUAUGCUACCCGGGACUUUGUCAGGGUUAAAAUUCUGCGUGGAAAAGUCCUCGAACCCAGUCCCACUGGGUUGGUCAUCUUGCAGCUCCAGGUGAAGAGGAAACUCUUUCUCCUGUUUUCUUGGGGGCGAGAAUUGGAAAAGAGGACAUUUGUGCAGGACUUGGGUAAUGGCACCUGUCCCCUUCCCCUCACUUCCCAGCCAGGAUAUGCUGGUCGGUCGGUCACUCCGCACUGAGAAUCUGAGCCUCCCCUUCUGCCUCUCAAAACCACAGACAGACCCUUCAGAUGUCUGAAGUUAUCUCAGAGCACACUUCCUGGCUGCCAUUGCCUCGUUCCCCAUUGAAACGGAAAGCAAAGCUCAUGAUUUUUAACAGAGGGAGUUUCCACACCCAGCGCACCCUGCUCAACAUGGUCUCACCGCAGCCCACCCACCCAGCCCUGGCUUCUUCCUGCAUCAACCGUCUGUGAGUUCCCAUGUCUGACAGCCAGCCCGCCUCUCCCCUGGUGGCCUGGGCUGAGGCCGUCUGCUCUGGAUCACCUCGGGCUGUGAUGGAGUCCAGGCCGCAGGAAGAGCAUAGUUAGUCUUUGCUUCAGGCCACAGGGCCUUUUCCUCUGAGGAGAGCCUUUGCUAUAAUCUUACUCAGCAGCAUUCAAGCCGAUGAGUCCCAGACUGCUGGCUCUCAGCGCUCUCCACCCAGCAGGUGUCACUUUGGGGCUGAGGAUGUGGCUGGUGUGAGUACCUUCCUAGGGAGCACAGAGCCUCGGGGUCAGAGCUCAGCGUCACAUAAACUAAGCAUGUUGGUAUACGUGUGUAAUCCCAGCAGUCGGGAGAUGGAGGCAGGAAAGCUAGAGUUCAAGGUCACCUCAUCCUUGGCUUCACAGCAAGCUUCAGCAAGCCUCAGUCCAAUUUGGCAUAUUUGAGACUUUGUCUCAUAAAUAAAUAAGUAAAUCAAUAAAUAUCCCCUAAAA